UCAAAUGAAUAAGGGCUUACGGUGGAUACCUAGGCACCCAGAGACGAUGAAGGGCGUAGUAACCGACGAAACGCUUCGGGGAGCUGGAAACAAGCUUUGAUCCGUAGAUUCCCGAAUAGGGCAACCUCCUGUACUCUUUAUUGAAUUCAUAGAUAAAAGAGAGGCAACCUAGUGAACUGAAACAUCUUAGUAGCUAGUGGAAAAGAAAGCAAAAGCGAUUCCCUGAGUAGCGGCGAGCGGAAAGGGAACAGCCUAAACCGGAGAUGUCAAAAUUUUUCGGGGUUGUGGGACUUAUAGAAUUGAAAGAGAAAUAAGGUGAAACAGAUGAAUCCUGUACCAUAGAUGGUGAUAGUCCAGUAGCUUAAUAGAAUCUCUUUUUAUAAAAAAUUUAUAAAAUAAAAAAUAUAAGAAUCCCGAGUAGCAUGGGGCACGUGAAAUCCCGUGUGAAUCUACGAGGACCACCUCGUAAGGCUAAAUACUCCUGGGUGACCGAUAGUGAAACAGUACCGUGAGGGAAAGGUGAAAAGUACCCUGAAUAAGGGGGUGAAAUAGAACCUGAAACCAUACGCUUACAAGCGGUUGGAGCCAAAUAAUUUGGUGACAGCGUGCCUUUUG
rnacentral:rRNA from 13 species